CGGGUGAGUAAUGUCUGGGAAACUGCCUGAUGGAGGGGGAUAACUACUGGAAACGGUAGCUAAUACCGCAUAACGUCGCAAGACCAAAGAGGGGGACCUUCGGGCCUCUUGCCAUCAGAUGUGCCCAGAUGGGAUUAGCUAGUAGGUGGGGUAAUGGCUCACCUAGGCGACGAUCCCUAGCUGGUCUGAGAGGAUGACCAGCCACACUGGAACUGAGACACGGUCCAGACUCCUACGGGAGGCAGCAGUGGGGAAUAUUGCACAAUGGGCGCAAGCCUGAUGCAGCCAUGCCGCGUGUGUGAAGAAGGCCUUCGGGUUGUAAAGCACUUUCAGCGAGGAGGAAGGUGGUGAGCUUAAUACGCUCAUCAAUUGACGUUACUCGCAGAAGAAGCACCGGCUAACUCCGUGCCAGCAGCCGCGGUAAUACGGAGGGUGCAAGCGUUAAUCGGAAUUACUGGGCGUAAAGCGCACGCAGGCGGUUUGUUAAGUCAGAUGUGAAAUCCCCGGGCUCAACCUGGAACUGCA
rnacentral:rRNA from 1 species